ACGAACGCUGGCGGCGUGCUUAACACAUGCAAGUCGAGCGGUAAGGCCCUUUCGGGGGUACACGAGCGGCGAACGGGUGAGUAACACGUGGGUGACCUGCCUUUAGCUCUGGGAUAAGCCUGGGAAACCGGGUCUAAUACCGGAUAUGACUCCGCGGCGCAUGUUGUGGGGUGGAAAGCCUUGUGCGGCUGGAGAUGGGCCCGCGGCCUAUCAGCUUGUUGGUGGGGUGAUGGCCUACCAAGGCGACGACGGGUAGCCGGCCUGAGAGGGCGACCGGCCACACUGGGACUGAGACACGGCCCAGACUCCUACGGGAGGCAGCAGUGGGGAAUCUUGCGCAAUGGGCGAAAGCCUGACGCAGCGACGCCGCGUGAGGGAUGACGGCC
rnacentral:rRNA from 1 species